GAUGAACGCUGGCGGCGUGCCUAAUACAUGCAAGUCGAGCGAACAGAUGAGGAGCUUGCUCCUCUGACGUUAGCGGCGGACGGGUGAGUAACACGUGGAUAACCUACCUAUAAGACUGGGAUAACUUCGGGAAACCGGAGCUAAUACCGGAUAAUAUAUUGAACCGCAUGGUUCAAUAGUGAAAGACGGUUUUGCUGUCACUUAUAGAUGGAUCCGCGCCGCAUUAGCUAGUUGGUAAGGUAACGGCUUACCAAGGCAACGAUGCGUAGCCGACCUGAGAGGGUGAUCGGCCACACUGGAACUGAGACACGGUCCAGACUCCUACGGGAGGCAGCAGUAGGGAAUCGUACGCAAUGGGCGAAAGCCUGACGGAGCAACGCCGCGUGAGUGAUGAAGGUCUUCGGAGCGUAAAACUCUGUUAUGAGGGAAGAACAAAUGUGUAAGUAACUAUGCACGGCUUGACGGUACUUAAUCAGAAAGCCCCGGCUAACUACGUG
rnacentral:rRNA from 1 species